GAUGAACGCUAGCGACAGGCUUAACACAUGCAAGUCGAGGGGCAGCGGGGUAGUGCUUGCACUACUGCCGGCGACCGGCGCACGGGUGAGUAACACGUAUGGAACCUGCCCGCAGCAGGGGGAUAAGCGGAAGAAAUUCCGUCUAAUACCGCGUAACAACGUUGGGAGGCAUCUCCCGAUGUUUAAAGAUUUAUCGGCUGCGGAUGGCCAUGCGGCGCAUUAGCUAGUCGGCGGGGUAACGGCCCACCGAGGCGACGAUGCGUAGGGGUUCUGAGAGGAAGGUCCCCCACACUGGUACUGAGACACGGACCAGACUCCUACGGGAGGCAGCAGUGAGGAAUAUUGGUCAAUGGCCGAGAGGCUGAACCAGCCAAGUCGCGUGAGGGAAGACGGCCCUACGGGUUGUAAACCUCUUUUGUCGGGGAGCAAAGCGAACCACGUGUGGUUCAUUGAGAGUACCCGAAGAAAAAGCAUCGGCUAACUCCGUGCCAGCAGCCGCGGUAAUACGGAGGAUGCGAGCGUUAUCCGGAUUUAUUGGGUUUAAAGGGUGCGCAGGCGGAGGUGCAAGUCAGCGGUCAAAUUGCGGGGCUCAACCCCGUACUGCCGUUGAAACUGCAUCCCUUGAGUGCGCGAGAAGUAUGCGGAAUGCGUGGUGUAGCGGUGAAAUGCAUAGAUAUCACGCAGAACUCCGAUUGCGAAGGCAGCAUACCGGCGCGCAACUGACGCUCAUGCACGAAAGCGUGGGUAUCGAACAGGAUUAGAUACCCUGGUAGUCCACGCAGUAAACGAUGAACACUAACUGUUCGGCCAGAAUGAUGGCUGAGUGGUACAGCGAAAGCGUUAAGUGUUCCACCUGGGGAGUACGCCGGCAACGGUGAAACUCAAAGGAAUUGACGGGGGCCCGCACAAGCGGAGGAACAUGUGGUUUAAUUCGAUGAUACGCGAGGAACCUUACCCGGGCUCAAACGACACAGGAAUACUUUUGAAAGGAGGUAGCCCUACGGGGUCUGUGUCGAGGUGCUGCAUGGUUGUCGUCAGCUCGUGCCGUGAGGUGUCGGCUUAAGUGCCAUAACGAGCGCAACCCCUAUCGCCAGUUACCAUCAAGUAAAGUUGGGGACUCUGGCGAGACUGCCGGCGCAAGCUGAGAGGAAGGCGGGGAUGACGUCGAAUCAGCACGGCCCUUACGUCCGGGGCGACACACGUGUUACAAUGGCAGGUACAGAGAGAAGCCAGGUGGCGACACCGCGCGGAACUCGAAAGCCUGUCUCAGUUCGGAUCGGAGUCUGCAACCCGACUCCGUGAAGCUGGAUUCGCUAGUAAUCGCGCAUCAGCCAUGGCGCGGUGAAUAC
rnacentral:rRNA from 1 species